rnacentral:rRNA from 1 species
GUAGGGAAUCUUGCGCAAUGGGCGAAAGCCUGACGCAGCCAUGCCGCGUGAAUGAUGAAGGUCUUAGGAUUGUAAAAUUCUUUCACCGGGGACGAUAAUGACGGUACCCGGAGAAGAAGCUCCGGCUAACUUCGUGCCAGCAGCCGCGGUAAUACGAAGGGGGCUAGCGUUGCUCGGAAUUACUGGGCGUAAAGGGCGCGUAGGCGGAUAUUUAAGUCGGGGGUGAAAGCCCGGGGCUCAACCUCGGAAUAGCCUUCGAUACUGGAUAUCUUUAGUACGGGAGAGGUGUGUGGAACUCCGAGUGUAGAGGUGAAAUUCGUAGAUAUUCGGAAGAACACCAGUGGCGAAGGCGACACACUGGCCCGUUACUGACGCUGAGGCGCGAAAGCGUGGGGAGCAAACAGGAUUAGAUACCCUUGUAGUCC